CCUACGGGAGGCAGCAGUGGGGAAUCUUGCGCAAUGGGCGAAAGCCUGACGCAGCCAUGCCGCGUGAAUGAUGAAGGUCUUAGGAUUGUAAAAUUCUUUCACCGGGGACGAUAAUGACGGUACCCGGAGAAGAAGCCCCGGCUAACUUCGUGCCAGCAGCCGCGGUAAUACGAAGGGGGCUAGCGUUGCUCGGAAUUACUGGGCGUAAAGGGAGCGUAGGCGGAUAGUUUAGUCAGAGGUGAAAGCCCAGGGCUCAACCUUGGAAUUGCCUUUGAUACUGGCUAUCUUGAGUACGGAAGAGGUAUGUGGAACUCCGAGUGUAGAGGUGAAAUUCGUAGAUAUUCGGAAGAACACCAGUGGCGAAGGCGACAUACUGGUCCGUUACUGACGCUGAGGCUCGAAAGCGUGGGGAGCAAACAGGAUUAGAUACCCUGGUAGUCCACGCUGUAAACGAUGAGUGCUAGUUGUCGGCAUGCAUGCAUGUCGGUGACGCAGCUAACGCAUUAAGCACUCCGCCUGGGGAGUACGGGUCGCAAGAUUAAAACUCAAAAGAGUAAGUGACGUGAGAGACGCGACGACGACGACGACGGAGGAGGAGG
rnacentral:rRNA from 1 species